AUGAACGCUGGCGGCGUGCCUAAUACAUGCAAGUCGAGCGAACGGACGAGAAGCUUGCUUCUCUGAUGUUAGCGGCGGACGGGUGAGUAACACGUGGAUAACCUACCUAUAAGACUGGGAUAACUUCGGGAAACCGUAGCUAAUACCGGAUAAUAUUUUGAACCGCAUGGUUCAAAAGUGAAAGACGGUCUUGCUGUCACUUAUAGAUGGAUCCGCGCUGCAUUAGCUAGUUGGUAAGGUAACGGCUUACCAAGGCAACGAUGCAUAGCCGACCUGAGGGGGUGAUCGGCCACACUGGAACUGAGACACGGUCCAGACUCCUACGGGAGGCAGCAGUAGGGAAUCUUCCGCAAAGGGCGAAAGCCUGACGGAGCAACGCCGCGUGAGUGAUGAAGGUCUUCGGAUCGUAAAACUCUGUUAUUAGGGAAGAACAUAUGUGUAAGUAACUGUGCACAUCUUGACGGUACCUAAUCAGAAAGCCACGGCUAACUACGUG
rnacentral:rRNA from 1 species